rnacentral:lncRNA from 1 species
UUCGCUUGUUUCUGUAUUGUAGUGUCAGUCUCCAUCGCUUAUGCUAAAUCAGACAUGAAGCAUUGACCGAAAGAAAAGGGACUGUAUAUUAUUCAGAUUGUGGACAUAAAUCAAAGGAUCUGUCAGAAAUAUUUGUCAUGUUAUCUAUUCUAUCCUCAAAAGUUGAUUUCAUUCUUGUUAUCUUGCGGGUAAAACUUUUUGUUACUUUGAUUACAACCAUUUGCACGUUCAUUGCAGUUUCAUCCAUGUCCCAUGUAUAUGCUGCAUAAAUAUUUGACCACUUCUGUUUGGCAUUGUACUGCGAUUGUGAUGUAGCCUUGUUUGUCUUAAGACUGAGUUGUGAUGUAGCAUUGUACUGCGAUUGUGAUGUAGCCUUGGGUGAACUAUCCUAGGUCGGUCGCAUCAUGCUAACUUUCUAGUCACUCACUGAUUUUCUCUUUUGUCCCGCUGUAGAUUGUUUUGACCACCGCGAGAACCGCCGCCAACGCCAACUCCCUUGCCAGCGAUGCCAACUCAAUCCCUCCCAAAGAAUACCUUGCCCGUUACUGGACUGAACAAAUCACUAGCAAUCCUGCCAUGCCACCACUGCUCAUAUCCAAAGUUUCCCCCUUUAACUGCUGCAGAAACAACCCUUUUUGCCCAGCUUGUGGCUAAAGGUGCCAUCUCCGAUCACCUCUCAUUUUUCUGCGGGGCAGCACAACUGCUUUACUUCCCAGCCUCACCACACUAUCCAGUUAGUUACUCUUUCCCACUAGCAUGAACUGCCAAGAAGCAAUUGAAUUUGAUAUUCAUGCAGUCCCUAGAUUAAUCCACAAGAUGACGUUGAACUCAAUACUCACGUGAUACCGUAUGGAGAGAGAAAUUUGCUUUGCCUGCUUUGACGUCAACAUCUGUCGGAAAUUUUUGAGGAAGAAGCCUGCGUGAAAUGACAAUUCACCAAGUCAGUAACUUAACCACGGAAAAUUCAGGUAGACAAAGCAUGAAAUCAUCAUAGGAGCAUAAUUACCAUUGACUGGUCCUCUUCGUGGCAGUAGAGUUCCCAUUAUUGCUCUUCACAUGAAGCCAUGACUCAGAUCAAUCUCUUACUCAGGAAGAGUUUUAUGUUAAGAGUCUGAGCUUUUCGGGCAUUUGACCAAACGCAAGGGUGCUCCUCUAUCCAAGUUGAGUUGAGCUCACUCGUGCUGCCUCACCCUGGCUGGCAGUUAGUAACCAGAAAGAUUGAACUUUAAAGUUAGUCAACUCCGACGGUAUUCAGUUAAAACGUGCAAAAAGAGAACCAAAAUCUAGCGGAAUCAGGUUCUUCUGUUGAUAACAAAACAAUCAUUUUGCAACCUGGAAUCAUUAGAAAUUGCA